UGAACAGGUCUUUAUUAUCAACAAAUAGAUGUUCCGUAUUUUCUCACAACAUAAAAUAUGCCAAAUAGGCAGCUGGUACCCACUUACCACUGAUCACACACAAACUAAAAAGUAUUAUCCAGGAGGGAGCCACGGGGUCAGGGUCAGUUAUCUUAAAGAAUUGUUUUAACCGGUGUAUGAUAUUUACAUAUUGUUCUGCCACUUUGGAAUGCCCCAAGUAGUUUUCUACUUGGGGUGGGGGGCACUGCUAGGUUUUCCUUGCCAUCAUUCUUCCUAGCAAACAAUAUAUUCUAUCAUAUACUCAGCAUUUCUCAAUAUUCAUAAACUUAACAUUUCUAAACCACUUAACAGUUCUCAACAACUACCUAAUUUGCUUCAAGGUCCAUUUCAUUCCUUUUAGCUCUUGGCAUUGUAAUUUGCUAAUUUGCCUUUCCAGGUGUCAUAUACUUUUCACGUGAAAGGCUGCAGCAUCUGCGAGAGGUCAGCUCACCUAAAAAGCAUGUUCAGAGCAGGAUAGUGAUGGAGGAGCCAGGACAUUUCCUGGUGUACUGUGGUAGGCAGCCUAUGCAAACCUACCCCCAAAAGUCUAAGAAAUUUGCCAGCUAGAAGUUGAUGAGCUGGGUCUCAAAUUCAGGUCUGUUCAGUUCUAGAACAGAAUCUAUAUGUAGAGUGUCUCUCUUCACCCUUAUUCAGGUUUUAUUCAUAUGCCACCCUCAGUCAUUCACCAUGAAUUCACUGGACAGCUAGGGAAGCACAGAACAAGCACUCAGUAUUUCACUCAGGGCAGGCUCUGAGUGUGUCUGUUUUUGCCAUGUUCUUCCAGCCCAUGUUGCCUCUUCAGUUUUCCAGUUUUCCAGCCUUUCCAUUAGACUGAAACUCAGCUCUGCUUCCUUCUUGUCAUAUCUUGUCUGAAGUUUUCCCUGAUGGUUUCACAUACACUAAUCCCUGUGAACCUUGAAGUUCACCACUUCUUUGGGCCAAUGGUGGGGUGGGGAUGGAAAGAGAGUAGAAACAAAUUACUCUGUGGACAAAUUCCAUGCAAAGAUUUUCAGCUGGGUGGAUCUUUGAUACGAGAUCUGAAAAACUGUUGGUAAAGCCCAAACCUGCUUCUGAGCCUCAAUUAGCACCUUUCUGUGUGGCUGAAAGGUUUCACUCUCCAGUGUGAAACCAGAAGUGUUUAUUAACAAGUUCAGGACAAAGACCCGCUGACAAGAAUGAGCCUCCCUGGAGAUCUGUCCUCUUGUUUAGCAGAACCUGGCAUGUAGUAGGUACUCAAUCUAUAUAUUGAGUCAGUAUCAUGCAUCUGUUGUGUCCCAGAUAUCUUCCACAGGGCUUGAUGGGUUGACUUAAUACUUUUCAAAUUCAGGUUAAUUCAAUAAAAACAGCCCAGCAUCAUUAAGGCACAAGAGCCUCGCCCUUUUACACACUUUCCACGAACUUUUGGUUGCCUUCCUUCAAAACACUUGUUAAGAACCCCACACAAAUACCGCCCCUCCAUCAAAACAUCCUCAGCUUUGCCAGGUAGAGAAUUGCUUCUGCAGGAGCUGGGUCACGUCUCUGCGGUAGUGCCCAUCGCAUGGGAUCGGUAUUAAUCUGUCUGUCUCAUCUUCUGGGUUCUGAGCUCCUAGAAGUCAAGCCAAACGGUUGUUCGCAUAAGGUUAGUUAUAAUUAAAAUGUCGGUUCCUGCACAUGGUUUGGGACUCUGUGUAUGAGUACGAUUAAUAUCUUCAAUUUAUUAAGAAGAUAAGGAGGUCGAUAAAUAAAGAGGUCGAGCCCGUUUUGCAAGGUCACACAGGAGGAAACGGACCACGAAAAUGAACGUACGCUGUCACCUGCGGUGAGCGCGCUAGAGGUCUUUUGACCUCCUUUGGCUACCGUCGCCGGCUUCCCGUGCGCACUUUUUCUGCGCCUGCGCGCGGUGGAGAGCCGUCCAUUUUUCCAUCCGUCUGGAAGGACGUUGGUGUUGAGGUUGGAGUACGUAUCAAGGACAGUAACUACCAUGGCUUCUGAAGUUUUGGCAAAACCUCAGAUGCGUGGCCUUCUGGCCAGGCGUCUGCGAAUUCAUAUGGUUGGAGCAUUCCUGGUAUCCCUGGGGGUUGCAGCUCUCUAUAAGUUUGCUGUGGCUGAACCAAGAAAGAAGGCAUAUGCAGAUUUCUACAAAAAUUACAGUCCUGAGAAAGAUUUUGAGGAGAUGAAGAAGGCUGGUAUCUUUCGUAGUAUAAAGUGAUCUUGGAAUAGAAAGAAUUUCUUCAGGUUGAAUUACCUAGAAGUUUGUCACUGACUCGGGUUCCUGAACUAUGACACAUGAAUAUGUGGGCUAAGAAUUAGUUUCUCUUGAUAAAUAAAAGUUAACAAAUACAUUGGA